rfam:Felis catus isolate Cinnamon breed Abyssinian chromosome C2, whole genome shotgun sequence.
GCCUGGGUGGCUCAGUGGGUUGAGCGUCCGACUUCGGCUCAGAUCACGAUCGCGCGGUCCGUGAGUUCGAGCCCCGCGUCAGGCU